rnacentral:rRNA from 1 species
AACGAACGCUGGCGGCAUGCCUAACACAUGCAAGUCGAACGAGACCUUCGGGUCUAGUGGCGCACGGGUGCGUAACGCGUGGGAACCUGCCCUUAGGUUCGGAAUAACUCCCCGAAGGGGGUGCUAAUACCGGAUAAUGUCUUCGGACCAACGAUUUAUCGCCUUUGGAUGGGCCCGCGUUGGAUUAGCUAGUUGGUAGGGUAAAAGCAUACCAAGGCGACGAUCCAUAGCUGGUCUGAGAGGAUGAUCAGCCACACUGGGACUGAGACACGGCCCAGACUCCUACGGGAAGCAGCAGUGGGGAAUAUUGGACAAUGGGCGAAAGCCUGAUCCAGCAAUGCCGCGUGAGUGAUGAAGGCCUUAGGGUUGUAAAGCUCUUUUACACGGGAUGAUAAUGACAGUACCGGGAGAAUAAGCUCCGGCUAACUACGUG